rnacentral:rRNA from 1 species
AGUCACUGACAUUAGAUACCCGGGUAGUCCCAGCCGUAAACUAUGCGCGUUAGGUGUAUCGGUGACCACGAGUUACCGAGGUGCCGAAGGGAAGCCGUGAAGCGAGCCACCUGGGAAGUACGGCCGCAAGGCUGAAACUUAAAGGAAUUGGCGGGGGAGCACAACAACGGGUGGAGCCUGCGGUUUAAUUGGACUCAACGCCGGACAACUCACCGGGGACGACAGCAAUAUGUAGGCCAGGCUGAAGACCUUGCCUGAAUCGCUG